CAGUGGGCGCUCCCGGCCGCAGAAAAGCCUCGUGGGCGGCGCCGCGGCCUUUCCGCCUCGUCCCGCCGCCCCGGCUCCGCUCCGGCUCCCCAGUGAGCGCGCCGACCCGGGGGAAGAUGGGUGCUACGAGCUGAACGACGCUUGGAAGCACAAAGGAUGACUUGAUGAGGACCUGAAAGUUUCGUCUUGGGAAGUUGCUUGGAUCAUUCGAAACUUCCAGAAGUAUGAGGAGUGUUGCAAUAUGAAUAAACACGUGCUGCUUCGAGGCA